UCGCCUAAUUGGCGAACAAUAUGUGUUACGAACAGUUGUAUAAUUCCACGCGUAAUAAGAAGGCGUCAAUUAGCGGACGUUUAUUCCACCUCCUCUUUCUUUUAUACUUUCAAUCGCCCAAAUUGUUUACCACUUGUAGCACAUCUCCUCUUCCAAGUCAAUCACUUUUCCAUAUUUGGUAGCAACACGGGCAGGUGUCUCCUGGUGUCUCUUGGGACGAGCCGCGUUUAGAAGUGCUCACGGAAGAGAAGAUGAGCAUAAAUUAAAAAGUGAGCAGUGCAUUAAAAAAGGAACGCAGUGCCAUGG
ensembl:ncRNA K11G9.8 ncRNA